AUUACUUAAAUGAGUUAACC
rnacentral:snRNA from 1 species